CGAGUCCGAGGAGCUAAGGCUCCAAAGUGAUGCGAGUCAGACUUCCCAGUAAAGCCCGAACCACGUUAAUUUCUAAUUACCUGUACCCGAAACCGACACAGGUGGGUAGGUAGAGUAUACUAAGGGGCGCGAGAUAACUCUCUCUAAGGAACUCGGCAAAAUGACUCCGUAACUUCGGGAGAAGGAGUGCCUUAUUUAUAAGGUUGCAAUAACAAGAUCCAAGCAACUGUUUAUCAAAAACACAGGUCUCCGCUAAGUCGUAAGACGAUGUAUGGGGGCUGACGCCUGCCCAGUGCCAGAAGGUUAAAGAAGUUGGUUAGUGUAUGCGAAGCUGAUGACUGAAGCCCUGGUGAACGGCGGCCGUAACUAUAACGGUCCUAAGGUAGCGAAAUUCCUUGUCGGGUAAGUUCCGACCCGCACGAAAGGCGUAAUGAUUUGGAUACUGUCUCGGAGAGAGGCUCGGUGAAAUAGACUUGUCUGUGAAGAUGCGGACUACCUGCACCAGGACAGAAAGACCCUAUGAAGCUUUACUGUAACUUGAAAUUGGAAUUGGACUUUGCUUGCGCAGUAUAGGUGGGAAGCGUUGAAGAUAUUCUUGCGGGAGUAUUGGAGCUAUCAGUGAGAUACCACUCUUGUAAUGUUAGAUUUCUAACUUUGAACCAUAAUCUGGUCAAAGAACAGUUUCAGGUGGGCAGUUUGACUGGGGCGGUCGCCUCCCAAAUGGUAACGGAGGCGUACAAAGGUUUCCUCUGAACGGAUAGAAAUCGUAUCUAGAGUGUAAAGGCAUAAGGAAGCUUGACUGUGAGACCUACAAGUCGAGCAGGGACGAAAGUCGGUCUUAGUGAUCUGACGGUACUGAGUGGAAAGGCCGUCACUCAACGGAUAAAAGUUACUCUAGGAUAACAGGCUGAUCUCCCCCAAGAGUUCACAUCGACGGGGAGGUUUGGCACCUCGAUGUCGGCUCAUCGCAUCCUGGGGCGGUAGUACGUCCCAAGGGUUGGGCUGUUCGCCCAUGAAAGCGGUACGCGAGCUGGGUUCAGAACGUCGUGAGACAGUUCGGUCCAUAUCCGGUGUAGGCGUUAGAAUAUUGAGAGGAGCCUUCUUUAGUACGAGAGGACCGAGAAGGACACACCGCUGGUGUACCAGUUAUCGUGCCAACGGUAAACGCUGGGUAGCUAUGUGAGGAGUGGAUAACCGCUUAAAGCAUCUAAGUGGGAAGCCCACCUCAAGAUGAG
rnacentral:rRNA from 1 species